CCUACGGGAGGCAGCAGUGGGGAAUAUUGCACAAUGGGGGAAACCCUGAUGCAGCGACGCCGCGUGAGUGAAGAAUUAUUUCGGUACGUAAAGCUCUAUCAGCAGGGAAGAAAAUGACGGUACCUGACUAAGAAGCCCCGUCUAACUACGUGCCAGCAGCCGCGGUAAUACGUAGGGGGCAAUCGUUAUCCGGAUUUACUGGGUGUAAAGGGAGCGUAGACGGCAGCGCAAGUCUGGAGUGAAAUCCCAUGGCUUAACCAUGGAACUGCUGUGGAAACUGUGCAGCUAGAGUGCAGGAGAGGUAAGCGGAAUUCCUAGUGUAGCGGUGAAAUGCGUAGAUAUUAGGAGGAACACCAGUGGCGAAGGCGGCUUACUGGACUGUAACUGACGUUGAGGCUCGAAAGCGUGGGGAGCAAACAGGAUUAGAUACCCGUGUAGUC
rnacentral:rRNA from 1 species